rnacentral:rRNA from 1 species
CCAGACUCCUACGGGAGGCAGCAGUGAGGAAUAUUGGUCAAUGGCCGGAAGGCUGAACCAGCCAAGCCGCGUGAAGGACGAAGGUGCCAAGCAUUGUAAACUUCUUUUGUCAAGGGACAAAAUCAGGCUCGAGAGCCUGACCGAGGGUACUUGAAGAAAAAGCAUCGGCUAACUCCGUGCCAGCAGCCGCGGUAAUACGGAGGAUGCGAGCGUUAUCCGGAUUCACUGGGUGUAAAGGGAGCGUAGACGGCCAUGCAAGCCUGGAGUGAAAGCCCGGGGCCCAACCCCGGGACUGCUCUGGGAACUGUGCGGCUGGAGUGCGGGAGGGGCAGGCGGAAUUCCUGGUGUAGCGGUGAAAUGCGUAGAUAUCAGGAGGAACACCGGCGGCGAAGGCGGCCUGCUGGACCGCGACUGACGUUGAGGCUCGAAAGCGUGUGGAGCAAACAGGAUUAGAUACCCGAGUAC